AUCCUGCCGGAGGCCAUUGCUAUCGGAGUCCGAUUUAGCCAUGCUAGUCGUGCGAGUUCAGACUCGCGGCACCGAGCUCAGUAACACGUGGCCAAACUACCCUACAGAGACGGAUACCCUCGGGAAACUGAGGUUAACCCGUCAUACCGAUCUCAGGCUUGAAUCGCAGAGAUCACAAAACGCCCCGGCGCUGUAGGAUGUGGCUGCGGUUGAUUAGGUAGACGGUGGGGUAACGGCCCACCGUGCCCAUAAUCAGUACAGGUUGUGAGAGCAAGAACCUGGAGACGGAAUCUGAGACAAGAUUCCGGGCCCUACGGGGCGCAGCAGGCGCGAAACCUUUACACUGCACGCACGUGCGAUAAGGGGACUCCGAGUGCGAGGGCAUAUCGUCCUCGCUUUCGUGUACCGUAGGGUGGUACACCAACAAGGGCUGGGCAAGACCGGUGCCAGCCGCCGCGGUAAUACCGGCAGCCCGAGUGAUGGCCGAUAUUAUUGGGCCUAAAGCGUUCGUAGCCGGCCAGACAAGUCUGUUGGGAAAUCCACGCGCUCAACGCGUGGGCGUCCAGCGGAAACUGUGUGGCUUGGGGCCGGAGGACUCGAGGGGUACGUCCGGGGUAGGAGUGAAAUCCCGUAAUCCUGGACGGACCGCCGAUGGCGAAAGCACGUCGCGAGAACGGAUCCGACAGUGAGGGACGAAAGCCAGGGUCUCGAACCGGAUUAGAUACCCGGGUAGUCCUGGCCGUAAACAAUGUCUGCUAGGUGUGGCUCCCACUACGAGUGGGUGCUGUGCCGUAGGGAAGCCGCUAAGCAGACCGCCUGGGAAGUACGUCUGCAAGGAUGAAACUUAAAGGAAUUGGCGGGGGAGCACUACAACCGGAGGAGCCUGCGGUUUAAUUGGACUCAACGCCGGACAUCUCACCGGCACCGACAACAGUAAUGACGGUCAGGUUGAUGACCUUACCCGAGUUGUUGAGAGGAGGUGCAUGGCCGCCGUCAGCUCGUACCGUGAGGCAUCCUGUUAAGUCAGGCAACGAGCGAGAUCCACGUUCCUAAUUGCCAGCACCAUCGCACGAUGGGUGGGUACAUUAGGAAGACUGCCAGUGCUAAACUGGAGGAAGGAAUGGGCAACGGUAGGUCAGUAUGCCCCGAAUGGGCUGGGCAACACGCGGGCUACAAUGGUCAGGACAACGGGUUCCAACACUGAAAAGUGACGGUAAUCUCGCAAACCUGGUCGUAGUUCGGAUUGCGGACUGAAACUCGUCCGCAUGAAGCUGGAUUCGGUAGUAAUCGCGUGUCAGCAGCGCGCGGUGAAUACGUCCCUGCUCCUUGUACACACCGCCCGUCA
rnacentral:rRNA from 1 species